CGGAAUUGAUCACUGACUCCUUUCGGUUGAUUAUAAUUUUUACCGCCUUGUCAAAGCUCUUCAAAUUGGAGGAUUUAAAAAAUAUAUGGCCAAGUAAAAACAAAGAAAAUUAUAAUUUAAGAACAUAUUCCUGUUAAAUAAUGAAGUAGAAAUACAGAGUUGAUCUCCAAGCAAAACAACACUGUCCAGGGAGAUAACUGUUGAGGCGCCAGCAUCAAGGGAGCUAAUUCAUUGCCAAAGUGAGGUAACUGUAGAGGGACCAUCAUCAAGGGAGAUAACUUAGCGUUGCCAUGGCGUCGUCCAUGGAUGUGAUCAAGGACAUACCUGGCUACAAGGUCAUACUGAAGGCAGUACUGAAGACACAGAUACAGCAGCUGGUGGAGCAGCUGGCUGAGCACACAGAUGAGGAGUCGGUCAUUCUCACGGCCAGCGUGGCAGACGGCACUCUCAGCCAUCUUGGAUCCGAGUCAGGAAAGUCGUACCUCGAUGAUCAUGAGGAUGUCAAGUCCUCAUUCCUCGGAUUUUGUCUCAAAAGACACCAUAGAAGGAAACAGCUCGAGAAAGAGCAGGAACAAGAGAGAGAGCGCGAGAAACUGCAGGCCCAGAUAGCACAGGCUCAGGCUCAGGCCCAAAUGCAGGCCCAGAUGCAGGCCAGUAUGAGGCCCGGGCCUCGCAGGGGAGCCCAUGGGCCUUACUUUCCUGGGCCCCGUCAGGCUACGCCCAGACAUCAGCCCUACCCCCUGUCCCGACCCCGGGGCUCUUCUGGAGAUUUCAACACGUCCAACUCGCAAGAUCAGACCAUGCCUGGACAAAGUAUGCCUGGAGUGUCACCAUUCAGACAUAAUAAAGUGAAACAAGAAACAGCGGAAGGACAAUCAGGGGGAGAGAAUCCUGCCAGUGACAAUGAGCAGUCUAACUCAAGUGGUUCAAACUUGCUGAACGAGGGUGUUGUGAGUGUUGGUGAUAACUUAAACAUGAGUGGGGUCAGUGUGAAAACUGAGGCAGGGGAUAGUGAGGACUUGGAGAUUACGGGGGUCGAGCUAGGAAUGGGGUCACAGUCCCAGGAGGGAUGGGACCCUAGUGUUUCCAUGGCAACAGGGAUGAACUUUGACCCUGGUAGUGCGACGGAGGGCGGUGGCGAGAUGGCUAGCCAGUCCGGAUACAGUAUGGUGGUGGUUCUGGACUCUGGUCAGUGUAGCUGUGCGGUCUGCGGGUACGUAUCUCGGAGCCGGACCGACGUGAUCCGGCACAUCAAGAUCCACACCGGAGAGAAGCCCUUCAUUUGUCCGGUGUGCAGCAAGUCCUUCAGGCUCAAACACCAUCUGCGCGGCCACCUGGCCAGUGUGCAUGAGAAUGACCUGAGUCCAGAGGAAAAGAUUAAAGUGAUACAGGACCUGAGGGCAAGCAGGGAGAUUAAGGAGAAAUAAAGUGUGGACACAAGGUCGAGCAGGGAGAGAAAGAGGAAAUAAAGUGUGAACCUGAGUGCAAACAGGGUGAGAAAGAGGAAAUGAAGUGUCGACCUGAGAGCGAGCAUGGAGAGAAAGGGGAAAUAAAGUGUGGACCUGAGGGGGAGCAGGGAGAGAAAGGGGAAAUAAAGUGUGGACCUGAGUGCGAGCAGGGAGAGAAGAGGAAUAAAGCGUGGAGAGCGAGCAGGGAGAGAAAGGGGAAAAACAGUGUGGACCUGAGAGCGAGCAGGGAGAAAAAGGAGAAAUAAAGUGUGGACCUGAGGGCAAGCAGGGAGAGAAAGGGGAAAUAAGGACCUGAGGUAAAGCAGGGAGAGAAAGGGGAAAUAAAGUGUGAACCUGAGGGUGAAGAUGGAUAGAAAUGGAAAAUAAAGUGUGGACCUGAGAGCGAGCAGGGACAUAAGGGGGAAAUAAAGUAUGGACCUGAGAGCGAGCAAGGACAGAAAGGGGAAAUAAAGUGUGGACCUGAGAGUGAGCAGGGACAGAACAGGGAAAUAAAGUUUGGACCUGAGGUCAAGUAGGGAGAGAAAUAUAGUGUAGACCUGAGGGAGAACUUUCACUGCCUUUAAGAAAAAGUUUCAGGGCUUCCUUUGGCUCAAAUUUUUUCUCAAGCCAAAGUUCAAUCGCUUUGGCAAAAUUCUUCUUAGUUUGUUGAUUUUAUGGGUACAUGUAUUUAUGAAGGAAAAGAUUAAAACAAAUAGAAUUUUCUUUAGCAAAAUUGGUCAAAUUGUAACCUGCUGAUAUUACAAAUGAUAGAGUUAUCCCACAGUUUUAAAAAUAGUAACAAAAAUAAAUUGUUGCAUGUUUUUUUGUUAAGUCCCUUUGUGGUAUAUGAAUAAUAAUGUGUUGUUGGCCAGCGUGCAUGAGAAUGAUCUGAGUCAGGAAGACUAGAUGAGAGUGAUACUGGACCUGAAAAAGGAGAGAAAGAGGAAAUAAAGUGUUGUUGGGGCUUGACUGAGCUUGGAUCCUUUCACUGCCUUUUCAAGUUAUGAAAGUAGUAAAAAAGUCAAUUUGCUGUGUGUUUUGUUGUGAAGUUUUUUUAAUCUUUAUGUGCUUUAGGAGUAAUAUUGUGUUUCAAGUUUAUACUUAAUUAGCUCGGCUGUUUUCAGAGAAAACCCGAGGUAUUGUCAUAGCCUCCUCGUCGUCCGCCGUCAGGUCGUCGUGCUAAAACCUUUACAUUGCCUCUAAAAUUAAAGUGCUUCCACCUACAACUUUGAAACUUCACAUGUACAUGAUGACUUCUACACGCCACACACAUUUUUGGGUCACUAGGUCAAAGGUCAAGGUCACUGUGACCUCUUAUAUAAAACUUUAACUUUGCCUCUAACAUCACAGUGCUUCCACCUACAACUUUGAACCUUCAUAUGUAGUUGCACCUUGAUAAGUUCUACAUGCCACACCCAAUUUAGGGUCACUAGGUCAAAGGUCAAGGUCACUGUGACCUCUUAAAAAAAAAAAAUUCUGACAAGCUUUCGCAGCCGAGCCUUGGCACCUGUUAUGCGGUGCUCCUGUUUUGUGUUGCUUCUGUUUUAUGACAUUAUUAUGCCCCCCUUCGAAGAAGAGGGGGUAUAUUGCUUUGCUCAUGUCGGUCUGUCAGUCGGUCCGUCCACCAGGUGGUUGUCAGACGAUAACUCAAGAACGCUUGGGCCUAGGAUCAUGAAACUUCAUAGGUACAUUGAUCAUGACUCUCAGAUGACCCCUAUUGAUUUUGAGGUCACUUGGUCAAAGGUCAAGGUCACGGUGACCCGAAAUAGUAAAAUGGUUUCCGGAUGAUAACUCAAGAACGCUUAGGCCUAGGAUCAUGAAACUUGAUAGGUAGAUUGAUCAUGACUCGCAGAUGACCCCUAUUGAUUUUCAGGUCACUAGGUCAAAGGUCAAGGGCACAGUGACUCAAAAUAGUAAAAUGGUUUCCAGAUGAUAACUCAAGAAUAAUUAGGCCUAGGAUCAUGAAACGUCAUUGGUACAUUGAUCAUGACUUGAAGAUGACCGCUAUUGAUUUUCAGGUCACUAGGUCAAAGGUCAAGGUCACGGUGACCUGAAAUAGUAAAAUGGUUUCUGGAUGAUAACUCAAGAACGCUUAUGCCUAGGUUCAUGAAACUUCAUAGGUAUAUUGAUCAUGACUCGCAGAUGACCCCUAUUGAUUAUCAGGUCACUAGGUCAAAGGUCAAGGUCACAGUGCCAAAAAACGUAUUCACACAAUGGCUGUCAAGGUCAUGGUGACGCAACUUAAAAAAAUGGUUUCUGGAUGAUAACUCAAGAAAGCUUACGCCUAGGAUCAUGAAACUUCAUAGGUACAUUGAUCAUGACUCGCAGAUGCAAUAAUGAUGAAACUUGACCAGGAUGUUUGUCUAGACAAUAUCUAGGUCAAGUGUGACAUUUGGUAAAGAUUGAAUGAACUGACUCCUCCCGGGUGAGCGAACUAGGGCCAUCUUGGCCCUCUUGUUGUUCAUUAAAACUGUUUGUAUUUCGAAGUUUUUUUAAGAAAGACAUCAAAUUUAUCAUUUUAAUGAAACCGUGUUCUUUUUUUGUUUCCAAUUUAAUUUGUACCAUUUAUAUUUCCAGAGUUGUCAUUAAAAACCUGAAACUAUAAAAUAUGAGCCGUGUUGUAGGAAAACUGGGCUUAAUGCAUGUGUGUAAAGUGCGUCCCUUAUUAGCCUGUGCAGUAGCAGGGCAACAUUUCUGCUUUUAUGGUAUGUUUUAAGAAACUUUAUGCACAUGCGUCAAGGACUAUUUUCUCAGAACGAUGCUCAUAUUGUAAAGCAGGUCAUGUGACCACCUCAGUGCUGCUAUGUUCCUCUUCCCCAAGGCAUCUCUCAGUGACAAAGCUCAUGUGACCACCUCAGUGCUGCUAUGUUCCUCUUCCCCAAG